AUGCACUUAAAUGGCCAAAGUCUUAGUGUAGUGUAUGACCCGCCACAUUUAAUCAAAGGAGUGAGGAAUAACUUCUUGACGAAGAAUAUUAUAAUGGACGUCGAAGUGGCAAGACUUGGUGGACGUGUACCGCACGGACUGCCGCCACGCGCAAGCUCGCCUGCUGCGCAAGCUCAACGACGAGCACAUACUCCCGGACAAAAUCAAGAAAAUGAAGGUGAAAAACUGUGUGCGUGUUUUCAGUCAAACCAUGGCAGCAGCUUUAUCCUACACAGCUUCAUUUUCGCACUACGCGGACGGCACGCCUGUGAACGCUACGCUGUACAAAACGGCAGAGCUGGUGGCCUUCCUCGAUGACCUGUUCGACAGCAUCAACGGCGCCAGCACCCACCAAAAGCAUACAACGGAAAGCAAUUGCGGACUGCCGUAACUGAAAACUCAAAACAACGAUUUCUGGAUGAAGACGAUAGAAUUCCGUGAUAUCAACGGAAAAUUGACAAAAGUUCCGACGUUGAAAAAUUGGUUGACAACUUUAAAAAGCUACCAAAGGCUGUGGCAGGUCAUGAACGAAAAAAACAUCAAGAUAAUGCGCCCGCGGUAUUUUAAUUCCGACGCAAU